UCCAGUGCCGCACGGUGUCCGUUAGCAACUCCAACACAACAUACCUGCCACAACAGGUUCAUCUCACCUUCAAUCACCUGCAGUCCAGUGAUGUUGACCCCACCUGUGUUUAUUGGUCGGAUGAGAAUGGACGUGGUCUGGGCGGGGUUGCACCUUAGUGAUUUCGAACUCCACCCACACUGUGUGCUCCUGCAACCAUCUCAGCACAUUCGCUCUGCUGAAGGGAAUCCAUCAGGAACAGGGAAGCGGGCAGCUGUUGGUGAUGUGGGUGGGUGUUUUUGUGGCACUGACCUGUGUGGUCCUGUCCUGAUCACCACCCUGUGGUGUCGCUUUGUCAGCCGCAAACGCCGUGGAGGACGCCGGCUGCAACGGGAUGUACAGCUACAUAGAAAAUAAGAGAUGGAUUUGAACUAUUUGUGUUCUAAGAAAAGCUUUACUUGGAAUCCAUUUGAAAAUAUUGUCUCUUGGCUUGCAAGGACAUCCAAUUACCAGAAUUUGUAUUUAUUUAAGUAGUUUAAAUGUACCAAACAAAC